AUAUUACUGCCUUUUUGAGCAAUUGUGUUUGUGUCCUUUCUGUGUGACACUGGCUGCUUCCGUUUUUGUGAGAUAUUAAUUUUAGGAUGACUAGAAUAAUGAUGGUGUUUUUCCGAGCCAGUAGUCUCACGACACGCAGUGCAGUUGGACUUCAGGUGACCAGAGUUUGAAUCCUGCCUCAUGGUCCUUUCUGAUCCUGUCCCCCUUCUCACUCCCAUUUCACUUCCUGUCCACUCUCUUACUACAGUAUAUUAUCUGAGAAAAAGGCCAAACAACAACAACAACAACAACAGAUGAUAGGGUUUAAAUUAAUAUCAUAUACUGUAAAAGAGAACUCUUAAACCUUGUGUUUGCAGUGUAUAUGCAUGUGAGUCAUGAAGGUUAUCUCUUCUCCAGAUGUUCACUGAUGGACUGGAGUGCUGUGGAUUACUUGUGGAUUAUUGUGAUGUUUUUAUCAGCUGUUUGGACUCUCAUUCUGACGGCACCCAUUCACUGCAGAGCAUCCAUUGAUGAGACACUGAUGCAGUGCUACAUUUCUACAAACCUGAUGAAGAAACAAACUCAUCUUGAUCUCGGAUGAACUGAGGUAAACACCAGCAUCACAUCUGUGAAAAUUUGCAAAACUGUGGUUUACAAGUGAAAGCCUGACCUGUCGAGUGAUUGCAAACUUAAGCAUAUAUAAGUAAGACCCCCUGCUCCCACAUCUCAGAGCUCUGCAUCUGCAUCUGACAAAGAGACUGGAACAUGAGCAGUUUCAAAGUAAUCCUUUUAGUCAGCAUCAGCACACAAUGUUUGAUGUGUGCAGCCACUGUGAAUGUGACUGUCCAGCUGGAGCAGAAUGUGACUCUGCCCUGUUACAUCAACUCCAGCUCUGAGAUGGCAUGGUAUCGACUGAGCUCUGAGAAGAUUGCUUUACUCAUAUCUGCAGCAAGAGGAAAACUUCAAAAAAAAGAUUUCAUUACUUACCAUAAUGAGGAUCAAAGUCACUUCCGGCUGGAGGCAGACAGGGGGCUUGACUCCGUCAGCCUAACCAUCACUGGGGUCAGAGAGUCAGAUCUGGGGCUGUACUACUGCGCUCUUGGCAUCAGUGCAAACACAAUGCAUUUUGGGACUGCUGUCAGACUCACAUUUGCAGACGCUGAACUGCACCGCUCAUGGGCUAGCGUGGGCUGCAGGACACUUUUGGUUUGUGCCUAUGUUGUAUGUGGUUUCUGCGCUAUUCUCUGCAUGUGUGUGCUUUGUCACAGGCAAGGUUCUUCCAGGGUCUCUUGCAUCAACUGUGUGAAAGAAAGCUCAAAUGUCAAGGCAGCACAAGUACAGUAUUCCAGUCUCCGGUUCAUCAGAGGGUCCAGACCCGCGGCUCCGGCUCCUGCUCCAGUUAACGUGACCUACGCAGCUAUAGCCAACCACACAUCCUGAUUCAAUGCAUUUACUCAGCUUCAGAUGAAACUAGUCUACUAUACCGACACCUAUACUUUGAACUUAUGCCAAAGCCUGUGGAAAAAAAGAAAAAAGUCAUUUAUACACUACCAUUCAAAAGUUUGGGAUUGGAAUGAUUUUAUAAUGUUUUUGAAGGAAGUUUAUUUUGCAAUUUGAAUUUGAUUUAAAUACAGUAAAUAAUGUGACAUAUUUGUGAAAGUUUUCUAUUUGAAUAUAUUUAAAAACUAUCUUUUCAGGAUUUUAUCAGGAUUCUGAUACAGUAUAUAGAAAUUCCAAAAGAACCGCAUUUAUUUAAAAAGAAAUAUUUUGUAACAAACGUCUUUUGAACAAUUUAUAUAUAUUUUUUAUAUUGAGGACAGAAGAAAACAUAUAUUUAUAUUUUAUAUAUAUUUAUAUAUGUUGAAUGGUAGUGUAUAUUACAUGUGCUAUAUUAUGCCUGCUAUAUUUUAUUGUUUCUUUUUCAUUUGUUUGAUUAUAUAUAAGCUACUGUAGCUUUUGCAGAAUGACAUAUAAAGAUGUUUUCGGUUUAUUUUCACUUAUCAUUGAAAAUCACUCAUAUGGACUGUACGUGUGCAGUGUAAAUGAUGAAUGAAGAGAUGAGUGUUUUUAUGAGUGUGGAGUAAAUGACAUGCUGUCUGCUGCUCAGCUGUCUGUCUGUCUGUCUCUCUCCAGUGCUGCACACCCAGAGACGCGUACUGGAUUUCCCCCUGAACACACAUGCACACACUCACACACACACACACACACAUACACUCACACAUGUUUGUUUUUGUGAAAAGUGGGGACAUCCCAAAGGUGUAAUGGUUUUUAUACUGUACGAACUGUAUAUUCUAUCGCCCUACACCAACCCUACACCUAACUCUACCCCUUACAGGAAACUUUGUGCAUUUUUACUUUCUCAAAAAAAACUCAUUCUGUAUGGUUUAUAAGCGUUUUGAAAAAUGGGGACAUGGGUUAUGUCCUCAUAAGUCACCCUCUCCUUGUAAUAUCUGUGUCAUACCCAUGUCAUUAUACAAAGUUGUGUCCUGAUAUGUCACAAAAACACACACACACACACAUAUUAGCACAACUAAUAUAGAUUACUCCAGCCAUAUUUGCAUCAUUAUUAUAGUACCAUGUACAUUAUUUCUUACAGAAACAUCAAACUGUUGUCACUUUGAAGUAAACAUUUUCAUUGGUCAUAAACUACAAACAUCUCUGGAUGUUGAUUGGUGAAGAAAGAAACUCACUGCAUCCUCAUGACUGUCCAACAUCCAGAGGCCUGAUAAACAACACAGGAUCACUGUUUGAAAUGAAAUAACCCGAGUGAUGUCAUAAUGACCUUUGAUGAAACCAUUUCAUCAUAAUGGUGCUGAAAUAAUGCAUAUUGAAUGCAUAAACACCCUGAUCUCAAAGCAUUACAUUUUUCCAUCUCUGCCUUCCUUCAUUUGACAUCCUUUGUAAUUGUAGACCUGAUGCGAUGUCUGUCAGGUCUGGGGGGGAAAAAUCAAUUAAACAUUAACUAGAAUUAAAUUCAUUAUGUUAUUUAUUGUUUGUGUUUUAAUUUACAUUUUGGCAAAACAUGGAGGAGUCCAAGUCAAACGCAUCUGUUUCUUUUUUAAUGUUUUUUCUCCUUCUUCGGUUCUUCCAGCCGACAAUCACAGACAGAAGGCCGACACAAACUAUCCCCAGUAUGCACAAAGCCAGCAGGACGGCCACUGUUACUAACACACACACACACAUUCAUGUUUUACACACUCUACAGUGCUAUAGUCUCAGUUUAUUAAGCCUGAAUAACUUUGACCUACAUUGAGAUCAGAUGCUUGUCAAAGUAUUAUAACACGGUAAAGAAAACCUUAAAAACAAAUAAAACAAAAACAUGACACA
ensembl:lncRNA